rnacentral:misc_RNA from 1 species
ACACCAUGGAAGUUGGUCACGCCCGAAGUCAUUACCCCAACCGAAAGGAGGGGGAUGCCUAAGGUAGGACUGGUGACUGGGGUGAAGUCGUAACAAGGUAGCCGUACCGGAAGGUGUGGCUGGAUCACCUCCUUUUAGGGAGACCUACCCAUUGAAGAAUCGAAAGUCGAAGGCGAAUAGAGAAUCAAAUGGUCUACUCUAGGUCGAUGACGUGAGAUUGUGAAGUCUUUCAAACUAAUAUUUGGUUCGCGGGCUAUUAGCUCAGGUGGUUAGAGCGCACCCCUGAUAAGGGUGAGGUCCCUGGUUCGAGUCCAGGAUGGCCCACCUGGGGGUUUAGCUCAGUUGGUAGAGCGCCUGCUUUGCAAGCAGGAUGUCAGCGGUUCGAGUCCGCUAACCUCCACAUUAGGUAUUAUCAGCAACUAGGAAAGACCUAGACUGCUGGUGAGAACCAGCCAGAACCUUGAAAACUGCAUAUAGAUAGAUAAGAGAGCCGAAAUCGAAAGAUAGAAGUAAGUGAAGAACCAAGUGGUCAAGCUAAUAAGGGCUCAUGGUGGAUACCUAGGCACAC